CUUGCUUGCACUGGCAUCCAAAAGCUACAGUAUUGUCAGAAAUUGUAGCAAAGCUGAGGUAGCUUUGACUGGACUGACCUCAAAUACGAUGUGAACAGCUGUGUGGGGAGAGGGAUGAGAGGUUGUGGGGGGAGGCUGUCUAUACGCUCGUUUGAUCUUCAGUCAGCAUUAUGAGUAAGCACAGUAUUUAGAUGACUGAGAAGAUGAUAAAUCAUCAGUUAUGAAAGGAGGUGAGGAAAAUUUUCAGGGCUGUUGAAUAUUCCGGAGGUCAGGAUUCAGGAUGCUGCACUCUCCAGUGGCCCCUGCUAUGAAUAACAGAGAAAGGACAGCUACAGGUACCAUGCCUUUGAGGGAUACUUUGCCAGGGCCAGCAGGAUGUAAGGAGGAUAGCAAGUGAAAUUAUGGAGAGUCUCUGUUAUGGUGAUCUGCACUUCCCAAAUAAAUAAGAGCUUGCAGAAAUUAUUGAAAGAAAGAAAAUAAG